AUUGCUUGUGUAGAGUGUCAAGCGUACGUGCUACACAUUGUGCCUGGAGAGAUUGAUGUUUUGUCAUCCACCUGCUUCUAAGCUGUAAAAGCAAGCGCAGCAAAGGCAAACCUACCCAGCUUCAAAAUUCAAACAAAGAAAUCUUAGUGGGCUGUUUACAUAUCUGUGGAAGGAUAUCUGAGCUUGUGUUGACGGGGUGCUAGAGUGGUUGAGAGAUCAGUCCCCGCACAAUGGACGAGUGGGAAAUCAAACACUGGAAUGCUGGGAGAACGCUGGGGAAACUGACGGAGCGGAGGGCUGAGCUUUGGAAAGGAGGACGGAUACUUCCUGUUCCUGCUGGAGUGACCCGCAGGUCUGAGGAGGAGUGAGGGAGAGAGGAGGCAGAGAAAGCGAGUUUUAGGUCUUUCCAAGAACCCUGUGAAACCUGCUUAAAAACUCCCCGGUGUACAGAUACCGAUGUACUGGAUAAACAAGUACAAAACUUGCCGAUAUCCUCACCAUAAUUGCCCAGGAGUUCAUGCUCCCGUUUUCGCAGGUGUGUGAAGGUAUAAUGAUUGACUCUGACACAUCUCUGCAUAGUCGCAUCAAACAGCCACCGCUGCAGCACCGAGGAUCUAUAUUUACCCAUCAGCCUCCUUUUCAUGGUUCCCAGCUGAACUUGGCUGAGGUCAGUGUCCGGUCAAAUGGAGUCAGGCCUGUGCGUCUGUGGGGGUGCAGAUGAAGUGGUCAGCAGUGUGACAGUUAGCGGGGAUUCUGACAGCCCCAGCUCCAGUGUGGAUUAGAGACAGGUCUGGACUGGACAGAAGGGAAAGUCCCAGGAAUGCAGACACCUUACCCCAGUACGAGAUUUGGAGACAGGACAGGGGGGCAGGUUACAGAACAAGGCAAAGAGGACAUUGUGUGCAUGCAUGCAGGACUGAGCGUCUACACAUCGCCAGUGUGCCAAGCAGAGGCGCUGUGACACGCUCCCACAAGGCCUCUCAUUAGAAACAGAGCUGUCUGGCAAGCUGGACCAUAAACUUUAGAGAGGUCACCCCCCCAUCCUGUUCUUCUGCACUGUAAACAAGCAGAAAGGUGCCGAUGUGUGCGAUGCCAGGAAAGGUCAGGAGAUGAUUUAGUGAACAUUUAUGGAGGCUUUAUCUUCAGUCCUUGUCACCAAUUCGGGUGAUGCUUCAUAGAGGGUCGCCAAACAGACGUGGAAAAAGAAAGAGCAUGACAACGCCACAACCGCAAUGACACAGUCUUUAACCAGUCCAACUCUUGGCAGGUACAGAACACUAAAGGACCAUUUUAUUUCUAAAUGAGUCUGAAUGGCGCUCCACAAAGACUGGAAAUGCUGCUGCCCUUUCAUUUUAAAUGGCUAUCGGGUUCAUCAUGCACAGAAAACUCAUCACAGAAAAUGAGCGGGUUGGAGAAGAGACAGGAGAUGUGAACUGUCCCUCUGAAGUUUACUAAAAAUGUCUGAUGGUUUCACCCAGACAGUUAGGAGAGCUGUGUCUGAAUGGGAUCCAAAUCUCUGCUUAUUCGGCUAAUGAACCAGGACAAGCACAAAGUGCAUUUUAUGAGAGAGAUAGUCACAUAUUCAAAUGGGACAUAAACCCCCACGUAACAACAGCACAGAUGGAACAGAGGCACAUGACAGACAAGCCCGUUCAGAAAAAAAAGCAAGUAUGAGGAAUGUGUCUAUGUCAAGAAAAACAGCCUCUUAUUCUACACACUAUUACUGUCUCUUUUUGUCUUCUCUUGUCCACCUGUGUCCCAGCAGCAAUUAAGGACCCUGGUGGAUCCAAUCACAGAAUCACACGAAUGGCUGAAUGUGAGUUUAUAUUCAAAACUCUGAGCAUCUAUAUUUGCAGCCUGUCUGCCGUGCUGUGAUUCGGGUGAGGAUGGUGGACUCGUGACAGAUCAGGGCAUUCAGGCUGGUGACAUUCCUCCUGGCGAGCAGAUCCAUCCUGGGCAGGGGUUGAAAAAUGCCGCGGCGCGCUGCUGCUCAGCUGCAGAUGAAUGGAGCUAUCUGUCUUGUCACGAGGGGUCGGCGGGAGAGGUUACAGCCCAACUGUACCUGGUCUCUGGUGCUGACGCCUGCACGCCGCUUUCCUUUAGAAACCGAGAGGGGAGGGAGAGAGAAACGAAUCCUGCCCCAUCAAGCACUUCUUCAGUCCCUCAGAGCUCAUCUCACUUCCCAUCAUCCUGCAGUCCUGCUGCCCUGAGCGCAGGCUUUGACACAUCUAUAUGUUUUUCCUUCUGACCUUUCAACGUCCUUUCUGUCAGCGCCUGUAAACCAUAAGCUGAUGUAUGAGGGCAAUUUUUAGCGGUGCCACUUGUAUCUGAGUGAUUGCGCAAACUUUACAUUUGGGGGGCCUGCCAUCCUGCCACCUCCUCAACAUCUCUUUAUUUGCUUUGCUUGAGAUUGAGGCAGAGAAACUGAGGGGAAGGAAUAAAAAAGCGGGGAGGGGAGGGGACGGGGGAGUCCAUUCUCAACAACCUCCAGGCAACAGGCCUGCACUUUAUCAGUCUAGCUAGCUGAGCCCCUCAGGCCGGUUCAAAUAGACCAAUUUCAAAUACUUGAACAAACAAACUCCUGUACAAAGAAACCAGAGAAAUGGUCAACUUUCAUUGGGAUACUGAUCCCAUAUGUUAAUAUCUAAUAAUGCUUCUAACCCAGGGGUUUUCAAACAUAGGCCAGAAGGGGUUACCAACAAUGUAUAUCUUUUUUUUUUUUUUACAAUUU